rnacentral:lncRNA from 10 species
GUGGCUCACACCUGUAAUCCCAGCAUUUUGGGAGGCCGAGAUGGACGGAUCUCCUGAGACAGGAAUUCCAGGCUUGGACUGGAGUGAAGCCCUCAAGAUCCACAAAGACAAAACCAGCCCGAGUCAUCACAACCCACACUUCGGGAUGGGACAGCAGCCCUGGGGCCGGCUUCCAGGUCCCAGAGGUGAGGAAGAAGUUCACUCCUAACCCCUCCGCCAUCUUUCAGGCCUCAGCUCCCCGGAUUCUCAACGUGUGACUGCCUGCACCGUGACACCAUGGCUGCCGACAGGACAGGGCUGGGGAGCGGCCUCAGGACCCACUGCCGCGGGGCUGGGCGAGAGCAUGGCAUGGGCCCCUGCGGGAGGGCACAGCCCCUCUCAAAGCUGUCACCAGGGCCAAAGUGCUGGUGUGGAGCAGAUGCACCGAUGGACUUGGCACACCCAGCUCAGCCUCAAGCAUCCUCUUGAGAAGCCUGUGGAAGGCUCCUGCGUUCGUUAACUGCCAUCUGGCCGUCUCUCAGUUUUGAAAUCUCUGAGGAGCCUGAGGAUCAAGUCAGUUGGGAACCGAAUUGGUCCAUGGAAGCUGAGGAAUGUGGACACAUCCGGCCCUUGAAAGAACCAGUUAUGUCCACUUUUGGUGGAUUUCCCAGGAUGCGUGAGCACUUGAUUAAUUUCAUAACCUACAGUGAGACCCUUGGCUCUUCCUACAAAUGGCCCCUGCAGUUGAAGCUGUUGGAAUCUUGGGCCGUCACCUGCAUGACUCAUGGUGAUGCUGAGUAUCCAGGAGGAAAUUUCCAGAAGAAACAGACCGUCAGUCACGGGCUUCCACUUCACAGACCUCCUUAUGGCCAAGAUGAGCCUCAUGUUUUAACAAAACAGUUCUUGGGAUUGAAUGACUCACAUUUACCUUGUGCUAGGUUCUAAAGAUUGAAUCCACAUUUUGUUACUAAUGAUUUUCCCGCUAACAUAAGGAUGAUGAGCAGGGCACUAUCAUACACACUGGCUGAGAACUGGAACUGUUUUUGGGAAGGUGGCAUUUGUCUCAUUCCCUGAAAUACCUUAAAAUGUCCUCUACACCAACCCUUCCGUCUACCCUGCUCACAUGUACAGUGACGGGGAACUCACCACCUUUUGAAGAGGCAGUUCAUUUUCUUUGCAAAGCUCUCUCCUAACUUCCUCCGUAAAUUCCAGCCAGCAUGGCCACAUGGGUCACGCCUGGUGCCUUCACACGUUUGAGGGGUCUUCGUCUCUUUUUAAAGCUUAGAGGUACAAGCUCAGGACAGUCUUCAGUAAGGAAAUUUGUGGAUUUCCCUUUGGAUCUUUCUUCCUCUCCAGCCCACAAGUGGCUCUAGUGAGACGAGCAUUUAAGCUGCAGGUGGUGGCACUCGGGUCUCAGAGCCACCAGACGUGCAGGUGGGACAGUGGUUCCAGCUCCGACUGCCUGUCAGCGUCCCUCCCAGGUGCUAGCCCUGGCAGGCACAGCCCUCCCCUCAUGCCAGCAAAGGAAAUGCUCUUGAUGAGAGGCUCGCUUUAAAGAAGCCCAAAGCGUGUGCUUAUCCAAGGGGUUCAGCUAUUCCUGACUUCACGGCUUGCAUGUUUGAUUUUUCUAAGAGAAAAGAGGCUGCCUGCUGGGUGUCUGUGGAAAUGAGAUUAAAAACUGUACAAUCUCAGAUUUUACUAAAAUGCAAAAAUGUAGUUUCAGUUUCUUAAAUUAUAAGCACGAG